GCCCUACAGAAUCAUUUUUUUUUUAUCUUAAAUGGCAUUGAGCCAUCAAGAAGGGGGCAGAGUAAAAACAUAGCUUUUGGGUGAAGUGGAAAUUAGUGUUGUUUUACUUCAAUUGGUGUUAUAACAGAA
rnacentral:snoRNA from 1 species